ACUGAAUAGAUACCCCGGUAGUCCAUGCCGUAAACUAUGGAUACUAGCUGUUGGGGGUAUCGACCCCUCCAGUAGCGAAAGCUAAACGCGUUAAGUAUCCCGCCUGUGGAGUACGAUCGCAAGAUUAAAACAUAAAGGAAUUGACGGGGACCCGCACAAGCGGUGGAGCGUGUUCUUUAAAUUCGAUGCUAAACGAAGAACCUUACCAGGGCUUGACAUCCCUUGAAUUACUCCGAAAGGAGUGAGUGCUUUAUUGAGCAAGGUGACAGGUGAUGCAUGGCCGUCGUCAGCUCGUGUCGUGAGAUGUUUGGUUAAGUCCAUCAACGAGCGCAACCCUUAUACUUAGUUGUAUUUUUCUAGGUAGACUGCCCCGGUAACGGGGAGGAAGGGGGGAGU
rnacentral:rRNA from 1 species